rnacentral:lncRNA from 1 species
AGUACAAGAUUUUCGUUUGCCUCAUGCAAGGUUUUCGUCUGCCAAUGUGUACGAGUUUGCUUCCUUUUAUCUGAGUAGUUUUUUAGUUCUCAUUUAUGUCUAUGAAAACUGGGCUUAGUAACCUCUCCUUGGAAGAGAAGGAAGAUACAGAGUUGGUGGUGGCUCCGAAUAUAGCUGUUGGGGCUAAGGUCAAUUAUGAGUGUUUAGUGGAAAAGUUUUUGGUGAGUGUACUAUCAAAUUUAUGGCUAUGGAGCUUACUGUCUUUCUGGUGGCCGAUUCAAGGAGCGACGAUCAAACUCAUCAAUGAUACAGGGUU